rnacentral:rRNA from 1 species
UAUACAUGACUCUGCGCAUAUCAAUAAGCGGAGGAAAAGAAACUAACAAGGAUUCCCUUAGUAACGGCGAGUGAAGCGGGAAGAGCUCAAAUUUGAAAUCUUCAAGGUUUUACCUUGACGAAUUGUAGUUUAAAGAAGUGUUUUCUGCUGAAGUUUUGGUAAAAGUUCUUUGGAAUAGGACAUCAUAGAGGGUGAGAAUCCCGUAUUUGACCAUUAUUUUCAGCUUUGUGAUACACUUUCAAAGAGUCGGAUUGUUUGGGAAUGCAGUCCAAAAUGGGUGGUAAAUUUCAUCUAAAGCUAAAUAUUGGCGAGAGACCGAUAGCGAACAAGUACCGUGAGGGAAAGAUGAAAAGAACUUUGAAAAGAGAGUUAAACAGUACGUGAAAUUGUCAAAAGGGAAGCGUUUGACACCAGUGUUGUUUUCUCGAAAAUCAAUUAAAAAAUGGCUCGAUUUUGUAUUGUUGAGACCUUAAAAGCUCACUGUACAUUUUUCGUGUCUUUUUUAAUGCACUUUUCGUUUAACAAGUCAACAUCAGUUUCUUUUGUUGUAAAAGGGUCAUUGGAAGGUGGCUUUCUUUUCGGAGAAAGUGUUUAUAGCCUUUGGCCUCUGCAAUCGGAGAGACUGAGGUCUGCAGCGUAGACUCUUCGGGGUUAGAUACAUUUGUGCUAAGUUAUAGCUUUUUAUAGACAACUUGUUGACUAUAAUUAGUCUUGUAGCUUACUCGCUUAUGCUAUUUUACCUACGCUUAGGAUGUUGAAGAUGUAGCACAUCAU